rnacentral:rRNA from 1 species
UACAGAGGUGGCAAGCGUUGUUCGGAAUUACUGGGCGUAAAGGGCGCGUAGGCGGUUCGGUAAGUCCUGUGUGAAAUCCCUCGGCUCAACUGAGGAACUGCACGGGAGACUGCCGGGCUUGAGUUCGGGAGAGGGAAGCGGAAUUCCGGGUGUAGCGGUGAAAUGCGUAGAUAUCCGGAGGAACACCGGUGGCGAAGGCGGCUUCCUGGACCGACACUGACGCUGAGGCGCGAAAGCUAGGGUAGCGAACGGG